UAAUACGGAGGUGGCAAGCGUUACUCGGAAUUAUUGGGUGUAAAGGGCAAGUAGGUGGCUUGGUAAGUGAGAGGUGAAAUACUCCGGCUCAAUCGGAGAACUGCCUUUCAAACUGCCUUGCUUGAGGAUGACAGGGGGAAAUGGAAUUCCCGGUGUAAGGGUGAAAUCUGUAGAUAUCGGGAAGAACACCAGCGGCGAAGGCGAUUUCCUGGGUCAUUCCUGACACUGAAUUGCGAAAGCUAGGGGAGCAAACAGAAUUAGAUACUCUGGUAGUCCUAGCCGUAAACGAUGAGCACUAGGUGUUGGCUCCGUUAGGAGUCAGUGCCGCAGCUAACGCAUUAAGUGCUCCACCUGAGGACUACGGUCGCAAGGCUA
rnacentral:rRNA from 1 species